AACGAACGCUGGCGGUGUGGCUAAGACAUGCAAGUCAAAUGGUCCGGCACUUAUUUGUUUACAAAUUCGUGCUGGAUAGUGGCGUAAGGGUGAGUAAUGGAUAGGUAACGUGCCCUCCGCUUCGGAAUAGCGUCGGUUGCUUCGGCAACCUUCCGAAAGGGGCAAUAAUACCGAAAAUAUUACUUGUCGAUGGGCAAGUAAUCAAAGAUUUAUCGGCAGAGGAGUGGCCUAUCUCUUAUCAGCUUGUUGGUGAGGUAAUGGCUCACCAAGGCUAUGACGGGUAGCGGGACUGAGAGGUUGACCCGCCACAUCGGGACUGAGACACUGCCCGGACCUCCACGGAGGGCUGCAGUAACGAAUAUUGCGCAAUGGGCGAAAGCCUGACGCAGCGACGCCGCGUGCGGGAAGAAGUCCCUCGGGAUGUAACCGCUGUCAGGGAUUAGAAAGUCCGCUUCGGCGGAUUGAUCAAUCCCAAAGGAAGUCACGGCUAACUUCGUGCCAGCAGCCGCGGUAAGACGAAGGUGGCAAGCGUUGUUCGGUAUCACUGGGCUUAAAGAGUGUGUAGGCGGAAAGGUAAGCGUCCUGUGAAAGCCCCCGGCUUAACCGGGGAAUUGCGCGACGAACUGUCUUUCUUGAGCCAAGUAGGGGUGCACGGAACUGUUGGUGGAGCGGUGGAAUGCGUAGAUAUCAACAGGAACGCCGGUGGAGAAAUCGGUGCACUGGGCUUGUUCUGACGCUGAGACACGAAAGCGUGGGGAGCGAACGGGAUUAGAUACCCCGGUAGUCCACGCCGUAAACGAUGUCUACUAGGUUGUGGAAGUUCUGACGCUGCCACGGCCGAAGCUAAAGUGCUAAGUAGACCGCCUGGGGAGACGGCCGCAAGGCU
rnacentral:rRNA from 1 species